GACGAACGCUGGCGGCGUGCUUAACACAUGCAAGUCGAACGGAAAGGCCCUGCUUUUGUGGGGUGCUCGAGUGGCGAACGGGUGAGUAACACGUGAGUAACCUGCCCUUGACUUUGGGAUAACUUCAGGAAACUGGGGCUAAUACCGGAUAGGAGCUCCUGCUGCAUGGUGGGGGUUGGAAAGUUUCGGCGGUUGGGGAUGGACUCGCGGCUUAUCAGCUUGUUGGUGGGGUAGUGGCUUACCAAGGCUUUGACGGGUAGCCGGCCUGAGAGGGUGACCGGCCACAUUGGGACUGAGAGACGGCCCAGACUCCUACGGGAGGCAGCAGUGGGGAAUACUGCACAAUGGGCGGAAGCCUGAUGCAGCAACGCCGCGUGCGGGAUGACGGCCUUCGGGUUGUAAACCGCUUUCGCCUGUGACGAAGCGUGAGUGACGGUAAUGGGUAAAGAAGCAACGGCUAACUACGUG
rnacentral:rRNA from 1 species